GAUGAACGCUGGCGGCGUGCUUAACACAUGCAAGUCGAACGGAAAGGCUCCUGCUUGCAGGGGUACUCGAGUGGCGAACGGGUGAGUAACACGUGGGUGAUCUGCCCUCACUUUGGGAUAAGGCUGGGGAACUGGGUCUAAUACCGGAAAGGACGAUGGUUUGGGUGGCAAUGUGGGAAGUUUUUCGGGGUGGGAUGAGCUCGCGGCCUAUCAGCUUGUUGGUGGGGUAAUGGCCUACCAAGGCGUCGACGGGUAGCCGGCCUGAGAGGGUGUACGGCCACAUUGGGACUGAGAUACGGCCCAGACUCCUACGGGAGGCAGCAGUGGGGAAUAUUGCACAAUGGGCGCAAGCCUGAUGCAGCGACGCCGCGUGGGGGAUGACGGCCUUCGGGUUGUAAACUCCUUUCGCUAGGGACGAAGCGCAAGUGACGGUACCUGGAGAAGAAGCACCGGCUAACUACGUG
rnacentral:rRNA from 1 species